GGACAGCCCCCUUCCCACCGGGGGACGCCCCCCUCCCCCAAAGGACUGGGAAUCCUCCCCCACCCCCCUUUGAAGUCUGAUGCCCUUCCCCCACCAGCACGCGGGCUCCUCGGAGAUCGCGAGGCCCGUGUUCAGCUUCUCAGAGGGAGGUCUCCAGCGUGCAAGCCGUGGCUGUUCCGGGCCUGUUGUCCUUCGGUGCAGGAAUCGCUUUUGGGGGGCUGAGACCCUUCAGGAGGUGACGGCUGGCUUCGUCGUGCUUCGUUCACUCUCUGUUCUCUGUUCUUCUUCAAGAGGCAUGGCCUUUGGAAAAGAGGAAAUGGCCCCUGUGCUGACAGCAAGGGUCCAACAGGCAUUUGUUGUUUCAGGAGCCAGUGACCUUCCAAGAUGUGGUGGUGGUCUUCACAAGGGAGCAGUGGGCUUACCUGGACCCUUCCCAGAAGGAGCUGUACCUAGACGUGAUGCUGGAGACCUACCAGAACCUGCUGUGCCUCCCCCUCCCAGCCCCCAGAGGGUUCUUUGAGUCCUUCCUCGGGAAAAGGCUUAGAGGAGACUGUUUGGCCUUCAGAGACCAGGGAGUCCUCAUCCUCUUGGAUGUGUGCCAGGCCCUGUGCUGGGCACAGAGACAAAAGCAACAGUCCCUGCCCUGCCCCCCACGGGAGCUUAUAUCCUAUUGGGGUUGGAAGAUGGAGGGAAACACAUGAACACAGUUAAGUCAACACCAGUAGUUUCUGGGGGGCUGGGUAAGGGCACCAGCACCUUUGAGGGGAUCGUGUUGGCCCUUGCGUAGGAUGAGGAUUGAGCUGAGGAUCCUGCCACUUGGGACACUUGGCGCCAGACCAGGAAGGGGGUUUGUAUUUCUUGCCAGAUCUCCUUGAGCAGGGAAGUGCAGUGGUCAGAGCAGUGCAGUAGGAAUGUCACUUGGAGAGCUGUGUGGAGGGAGAGAGAUCAGCCUGAAGCUGUGGCAGCCACAGGGCAAGUGGAGAUGAGGUAGAAUCAGAAAGGCUUGGCAAGAAUCAGCCGGAGAAGGAGAGGGAAGGACACCUGUGAGGAGGAGAGUCUGAGGAGAGGGGAGGGUUUCGGGGGAAAGAUAGUGUGUUCCAUUCAGGCCAACAGGACAUCCGCCGGGGAAUAGGUAGGCGUAGCGUGGUGGUAUAGGGGAAGAGAUCAGUCAAGAGGAAAAGCGUCUGUCAUGGAAGGAGCAGGGUCAUGGACACGCCCAGAAAGAGAGGGGAUUCAGGGGGAAUUAGGGUCCAUGUUGGAUGAGGGCAGAGAAAGGCCAUCUGAGCAUGUUCAGGAGAGAGUGGCUUCAGUCUCAGGUCAAGUUGCAAAGGGCUGACUGAAAAGGAGCACGUGUCGAUAGCAGAUGAUACUUGGAGGUGGUAGGGGGUCAAUUGGAGGGACACCUGGGCAUGAAUGGGGUACACUUGGGCUUCCUCUUCCCAGGGAACGAUUCAGCAAGUCUUGAUGAAAGUCCUACUGUGUGCAUGGGAGAAAGAGAGCCCCUGACAGUGGGUCAGACA
rnacentral:lncRNA from 1 species